rnacentral:lncRNA from 1 species
UAUUUUGUUUGGGGGUGCAAUUUCAGGGAGAUGCAGGGAGGGACAACGAGAAUGAAGCAGGGAAGGAGGAGGAGCCGAUAUGAGUAUGUGUAAUCAAAAGAGCUGCCAUUAAGUGCAUCUCAUUGAUACGGGACAUACUCCUGCCUGUCUGCAUUGUAUAGCAGCAGCUCUAGCUCCCCAUAUUAGUCAGGGUUGAUUACCAUUGCCAAUAUAGUAAUUCAUUUCUUUGCCUUCUGGUCCACUAGCGCAAGGAGCCUAAAUGUGGUAGUUGAAGCUUCAAAUUUGGUGGAGCCCUUUCUGUGCACCGGGUUUCGGAAAAGACUCUUCCCCUUCUCAGCCCUGCAGUGGAAACCAGGACCUUAGAGUGUGGGGACAGAAAGCACAAAUUUUUGCAAAUGAGUUGUUGUUUCUACAAUGUGAAGCAGGCAGAGCAGGUACUGUUAGACCCAUAUGAAGAAAACGAAAACUCACAGUGGCUGCAAAAUAUAGUUACUGUAGCAGGUAAGCAGCAGAUCUGGAGAUAUAAUCUAAUAGAUUUACUCAAAAAGUAUGCACCAUGCAGCUAAUUUAUCUUUUCUCUUCUUCUAGAAAUUCUGAUUUUCAUGACUUUCACUUUCAUCAACAAGCUACCAUAAGAUGAUCCAUACAUCAAAAUGAGUCUGGAAGCUUG